CAGGAUAGUUGGGUUUACUACACAUGAGCAUGAAUACAGGACUCACGCUGUACAAGAAGGUAUUUCACCUUUCCUACAUAACCCCCGAUCUUCCAGCGGUUGGAUAAAGGAAUAAUACCAGCCGAUGAAACAACCGAAGAACCUCCCAAUGUUUACGGCUAGGCUCCGCUUUACAGUCUAACCCCUCGGAUGCGAGCGAAAAGUGGGCAGAUCAGUUAACAGUAGAGUCGGGAUCGUUUACAUGGGGUUGCCAGAGAUGAUGCGAAGGCGGCAAAUAUUUUUAAUUGAUGUGACUUGUGACUCAGUUUACUGAUCUUGGAGGUGGGAAGUAGAAAAAGGUUUUCAUUAGCGAUCUAGUCAAGUGUAGAAUUUAAAUUCUACGAACUAAGGCGAGCUGCCAGCAUUUGCAGAUGUUCUGUUCAGCAAGGAUCUUUGAAAAGGCCCAAAAAAA
rnacentral:sRNA from 2 species